UGGGGAAUAUUGGACAAUGGGCGGAAGCCUGAUCCAGCCAUGCCGCGUGUGUGAAGAAGGCCUUUUGGUUGUAAAGCACUUUAAGCGAGGAGGAGGCUACUUGGAUUAAUACUCUAGGAUAGUGGACGUUACUCGCAGAAUAAGCACCGGCUAACUCUGUGCCAGCAGCCGCGGUAAUACAGAGGGUGCGAGCGUUAAUCGGAUUUACUGGGCGUAAAGCGUGCGUAGGCGGCUUCUUAAGUCGGAUGUGAAAUCCCUGAGCUUAACUUAGGAAUUGCAUUGUAUACUGGGAAGCUAGAGUAUGGGAGAGGAUGGUAGAAUUCGAGGUGUAGCGGUGAAAUGCGUAGAGAUCUGGAGGAAUACCGAUGGCGAAGGCAGCCAUCUGGCCUAAUACUGACGCUGAGGUAAGAAAGCAUGGGGAGCAAACAGG
rnacentral:rRNA from 1 species